UACGUAGGGGGCAAGCGUUGUCCGGAAUCAUUUGGGCGUAAAAGAGCGUGUAGGCGGCUCGAUAAGUCUGCUGUGAAAGUCCAGGGCUCAACCCUGGAAGGCCGGUGGAAACUGUCGGGCUAGAGUUCGGAAGAGGCGAGUGGAAUUCCCGGUGUAGCGGUGAAAUGCGCAGAUAUCGGGAGGAACACCAAUGGCGAAGGCAGCUCGCUGGGACGUUACUGACGCUGAGACGCGAAAGCGUGGGGAGCAAACAGGG
rnacentral:rRNA from 1 species